CACGUAGGGUGCGAGCGUUGUCCGGAAUUAUUGGGCGUAAAGAGCUCGUAGGCGGUGUGUCGCGUCGGCCGUGAAAACCUGCAGCUUAACUGUGGGCUUGCGGUCGAUACGGGCAUCACUGGAGUUCGGCAGGGGAGACUGGAAUUCCUGGUGUAGCGGUGAAAUGCGCAGAUAUCAGGAGGAACACCGAUGGCGAAGGCAGGUCUCUGGGCACUUACUGACGCUGAGGAGCGAAAGCGUGGGGAGCGAACAGG
rnacentral:rRNA from 1 species